CCUCACUGUUUGGUGUAAGUGUGGUAGAAUAUGAAACCCAUUGCACUGAACAGUGGGGCU
rnacentral:pre_miRNA from 1 species